rnacentral:rRNA from 1 species
GAUGAACGCUGGCGGCGUGCCUAAUACAUGCAAGUCGAGCGAAUGGAUUAAGAGCUUGCUCUUAUGAAGUUAGCGGCGGACGGGUGAGUAACACGUGGGUAACCUGCCCAUAAGACUGGGAUAACUCCGGGAAACCGGGGCUAAUACUGGAUAACAUUUUGAACCGCAUGGUUCGAAAUUGAAAGGCGGCUUCGGCUGUCACUUAUGGAUGGACCCGCGUCGCAUUAGCUAGUUGGUGAGGUAACGGCUCACCAAGGCAACGAUGCGUAGCCGACCGGAGGUGGUGACCGGCCACACUGGGACUGAGACACGGCCCAGACUCCUACGGGAGGCAGCAGUAGGGAAUCUUCCGCAAUGGACGAAAGUCUGACGGAGCAACGCCGCGUGAGUGAUGAAGGCUUUCGGGUCGUAAAACUCUGUUGUUAGGGAAGAACAAGUGCUAGUUGAAUAAGCUGGCACCUUGGCGGUACCUAACCAGAAAGCCACGGCUAACUACGUGCCAGCAGCCGCAGUAA